UCGACCGAGCGCAGGCAAGAUACCC
rnacentral:rRNA from 1 species